GUAGUCAUAUGCUUGUCUCAAAGAUUAAGCCAUGCAUGUCUAAGUAUAAGCAACUAUACUGUGAAACUGCGAAUGGCUCAUUAAAUCAGUUAUCGUUUAUUUGAUAGUACCUUACUACUUGGAUAACCGUGGUAAUUCUAGAGCUAAUACAUGCUAAAAACCCCGACUUCGGAAGGGGUGUAUUUAUUAGAUAAAAAACCAAUGCCCUUCGGGGCUCCUUGGUGAUUCAUAAUAACUUAACGAAUCGCAUGGCCUUGUGCCGGCGAUGGUUCAUUCAAAUUUCUGCCCUAUCAACUUUCGAUUGUAAGGUAGUGGCUUACAAUGGUUUCAACGGGUAACGGGGAAUGA
rnacentral:rRNA from 1 species